rnacentral:lncRNA from 1 species
GUGUGUGAGACAGAGAUCCUUGGAAGUCGUCUACAAACACACAGGGUGGAUGAAGGGAGCUGCGGCAGGGAUGUGUUUGUGUGUGUGUGUGAGAGAGAGAGCCUUGGAAGUCGUCUACAAACACACAGGGUUUGUUUCAGAUCUCGAAAGCAAGCUUCCAGUCAUCCGGCUGCCGCCUGGUGCUGGCUGAGGGCUGGAGGGAAAGGCAAAUGCUCCAGUGGGAGAGAAAAACGAGAAGGUCUCGAGGAAGGACAAGGAAGACGGGUGGGCCACCGUUUGCAACUCAUUCCGGUGACAACGUCCUUGGAAGGCCUGCCUUGCACAUCUAUUCCGUGGUCUGGCCAAUAAAUCCAAGUCCGGAGAAGAGGAUUCAAAUGUCCCAUCCUGAUGAUCAAGAGGAAUCUUGUCUUUGGCCUUCGGCUGGAACUGUCCUUCCUCUCACAAGGCCCACUCCAGAGGGUUCACUGCCUGAGGCCAGUGAUAAAAACCACACCGGUGUGAUUGUGGUGCCAACGCUGAAAUGGGUCGGGCCGACUGGCUCUUGCUGCACCGGAGAACUUGCACCGAGGCCAUCGUCUCCAUCCGUUCGGCGGCAGGGCCGGCCCCGCCACACAGGGAAAAAAGCUUCUCAUUCCAGCAGGCUUCUUUGACCUGCCUCGUCGGGAUGAGAAGUGGGAGCAAGAUCACUCUGUGUUUAAAAACCUUGUUUUUUCUCUCCCUUAAGUCAGCUCUUGUGUUUUACAAAAAUCUUUUUUUAUUGUGAUGUUUAAAUUUUAAUGAAUGAUUGUAAAGUGGUUCUUAGCGUCUCCCAAGCACGAUGCCCUCAGCCACAGCUCUUUUAUUAUGUGUUGUUGUUUUUUAAACGGGGGGCGCUUCUGAACGAAUUUUACUUCCAUCGUAUUUCAAUAUAGUCGUUUGUUUCACUGUGUUCUAAUACUCCCCUUUUUCCUUCUUUUAUUUGUGCUUGUAAUUUAAAAUAUUUGUGAGUGAGGUACGUUGUACAUCUAAAUAAAGAGAGGAAUAAAACACCA